GUACUUGUAGCUCAGAGGUAGAGCAGCAGAUUGUUAAUCUGAAGGUCGGUGGUUCGAUCCCACCCUGGUACG
rnacentral:tRNA from 1 species